CACGUAGUUAGCCGGGACUUCUUAGUCAGGUACCGUCUUUUUCUUCCCUGCUGAUAGAAGUUUACAUACCGAAAUACUUCUUCCUUCACGCGGCGUCGCUGCAUCAGGGCUUCCCCCAUUGUGCAAUAUUCCCCACUGCUGCCUCCCGUAGGAGUCUGGACCGUGUCUCAGUUCCAAUGUGGCCGUUCACCCUCUCAGGCCGGCUACUGAUCGCUGACUUGGUAGGCCUCUACCCCACAACUAUCUAAUCAGACGCGGGCCCAUCCUGUACCGUCUCGGCUUUUCACACUGUAACAUGCGUUACUGUGCGCUUAUGGGGUAUUAGCAGCUGUUUCCGGCUGUUGUCCCCCUGUACAGGGCAGGUUGCCCACGCGUUACUCACCCGUCCGCCACUAAGUCACUUACUUCUUCCUCCGAAGAUUUAGUUGUAAGCGCUUCGUUCAACUUGCAUGUGUUAGCACGCCGCAGCGUUCAUCCUGAGCCAGGACUCAAACUCU
rnacentral:rRNA from 1 species